AUAUUUAAAUUUAGUUUCUCGUCGAUUUUCAAAACGUUCGCAACGACUUUUAUUUACGAGGAAAUCUCGUCUGCCCGGAAAACGCUUAGCCUGUGCAAUUGGUGGGAAAGAGAUGCAGCGAUCUGUAUAACUAAUUUUCAGCCGUAAAUUUGAACAAAGUGAAUAAAUUCCAAAAA